GCAUGACAAGCAUGACUACAAUAUACUAUCAUCUUCGAACGAGACACACAAUAUAAUUGUAUAUAUUUGUACGAUCUAAAUUAUGAUUGCCGUGAAAUUCAAAGAAAGAGGAGUCUGUUCUCCCUCCACACAUAAAUUUGCUAUAGAAUAGUACCACCGGAACCACUCAUCUUGCAUCUCUCUUGGACGGGCUUCUCUCGCGCAGUUCACACUCCAGUUAGGAUAGAGCCCAAUGGUACCAAGUGCCCCCCCCCCCUGGGGAGCCCGGGAUAUAUAUAGCCUUACUGACAAGUCCACUAGCAGGCCCAGGACGAAACACUUCCUUCCUUUCCUCCCUUCUCUCGCUCUCCCUUCAGCAGAACCGCCACCACAGUGGGAUUACUUGAAUUUACAUGAAAAACCUUGCUUGGUAGACUUGUCGUUAUACAUUACCGUUAUCUACUUUAUUAUGCGUAGCGUUUUGCUUUCCAUGCACGCGAAUGCGCAGCUGUCUGUACAGGAACGCAUUUCGCCUACGUUGCGGUCAUGUCUGUACCGUAUGAACGAAUACGCAUACAAUAUACGAAAUUUAUGGGUGAACCGAUAUACUUAUCCACCGUCGACGAUCGCGAGUAUAACUUGAGGACGUUAUUGUUGCUUUAAGUGUUACGACAACCGGCGAAACUUGUCUCGUAAGCGGAUCGCGGAUAGGGGAGGAAUGGAUUUAUUGCUCCGAAACGCAGAAACGCGAUCGUAUAUAAACGCGAACAGCUAUUUCCGGGUACGGAAUAAAGUAUCGAUUGAUUUUCCUGUUUGUUAUUAGUUCCAUUCCACCAACUACUAUAGCAGUAUGCUUGGCGAUUCCUCUAGGUAAUACAGCCGAAAAGAUAGCGACUUUAAUUGUGAAGAAGAACUUCGUCUGCUGCAUUAUGUUGCUAAGUUGGAGAAAUGGCCACUUAACAAGUAAAAAUGGAAACAGAAACCUGUCGCUUGAAAAAAAGCAGAUGUUGUCCGAGUCAAGCAGAGGUCAUAGAUAGUGGAAAUAUAUCGUCCGACAAGGAAAGUUAGCAAAUCCCGAAAUUCAGAACAUUUUGAAAAAUUGUAUGCAAGCACGGAGGUCCAUCCGUAAUACAAAACCAUUUUUCGUUGGUUAGGAAUAUUAUGAUUCAAGAGGGUACGGUAAAAAAAAUGUGGAAAAAAUGCACAUUUUUCUUUCUGGUCGAAUAUAUUCAGAAUAGUGGAAGAUAUUAGGGGAAUGACAACACAAAAAUUACAUGCCAAAACUGCGUAUGAAUCACCAAUAAAACAAUUAAAAACCACA